rnacentral:rRNA from 1 species
UUGAACGCUGGCGGAAUGCUUUACACAUGCAAGUCGAACGGCAGCACGGGGGCAACCCUGGUGGCGAGUGGCGAACGGGUGAGUAAUGUAUCGGAACGUACCCAGUCGUGGGGGAUAACUAUCCGAAAGGAUAGCUAAUACCGCAUACGUCCUGAGGGAGAAAGCGGGGGACCGUAAGGCCUCGCGCGAUCGGAGCGGCCGAUGUCAGAUUAGGUAGUUGGUGGGGUAAAGGCUCACCAAGCCGACGAUCUGUAGCUGGUCUGAGAGGACGACCAGCCACACUGGGACUGAGACACGGCCCAGACUCCUACGGGAGGCAGCAGUGGGGAAUUUUGGACAAUGGGCGCAAGCCUGAUCCAGCAAUGCCGCGUGCAGGAAGAAGGCCUUCGGGUUGUAAACUGCUUUUGUACGGAGCGAAAAGGCUCUCUCUAAUACAGGGGGCUCAUGACGGUACCGUAAGAAUAAGCACCGGCUAACUACGU